GCCUUUUGACAUCUCAAAUUUUUUUCCAAAAGAUGCUCCACUCUAUCGUUCGUGCCCCAAUGUCCUUCUUUGACUCAACGCCAUCUGGGAGGAUUUUAAACAGGGUCAGUACUUAGUUUAAUCUCUCAUUUAUGUAGUUAAAUUUCUUAUUCUUGUAAUUCCUGAAUUGUAAAUAGUUAUAUAGUUUUGUGCUUAAGACUAAUAGUUUCUUAUUAUGAAUUAUUUGUAGGCUUCUAUGGAUCAAAGUGUGCUUGACUUAGAAUUAGCUGGGAAAUUAGGUUGGUGUGCAUUCUCAAUUAUACAGAUUCUGGGGACUAUUGCAGUCAUGUCGCAGGUUGCUUGGCCAGUUUUCGCAAUAUUCAUUCCAGUGACAGCAAUCUGUAUAUGGUAUCAAGUAAGAACACUCUCAUUCAAAAAUAUACUCAGAAAAAUAUUUAAGAUUUUUUGUUGAUAUCAAAGAAUGUCAACAUAGAUAUUCUUGAAUAUUGAGAGAAACAAUUUGACUGUUUUCUUUUUCUUUUUCCUCAAACUGUAGUUCCCAUGAUUUAGUUGUGUGCUAGGAUGGAUGAUAAUACAUAAGAGGAUUUACCUACGGAAAUAUACUCAACUUUGGCCAUGAUUUAGUUAGAUUUUCAGUUUAAUGAAUGAUUAAAUCAUUUUGACAAUUUGAAGACUGAAUUUUUGACAAUGACUAAUGCAGCAAUACUACAUACCCACUGCAAGAGAGUUGGCUCGGUUGUCAGAAAUCCAGAAAGCUCCGAUCCUUCAUCAUUUUGGAGAAUCACUCUCUGGUGCUGUAACUAUUCGAGCAUUUGGGCAGAAAGACCGUUUCAGCAAUACAAACCUCAGUCUCAUAGAUAAUCACUCAAGGCCAUGGUUCCAUAAUAUUUCUGCAGUGGAAUGGCUCUCAUUCAGAUUGAAUUUGUUAUCCAACUUUGUGUUUGCUUUCUCAUUGAUUGUGCUUGUGAACCUGCCAGAAGGAUUUCUUAAUCCAAGUGAGCAUAUUCAAGUGAAAUAUUCAUUUACCUAAAUUUUACUUGAUAAUACCUUUCAUAUAAGUCUGUUAAUCUAAAUGAAAUUUCAUGUGUAUGUUGUACAGGCAUUGCAGGACUUGUUGUGACAUAUGGAUUAAAUCUCAAUUCACAGCUAGCAACUAUCAUCUGGAAUAUAUGCAAUGCACAAAAUAAAAUGAUCUCAGUUGAGAGAAUUAUGCAGUACUCAAGGAUUCCGGGUGAAGCUCCUAUACUCAUAGAAGGCUGCCGACCACCAACCAAUUGGCCACAUUUUGGAACUAUAUGCUUCAGGAACUUAGAGGUAUAACUUAGAACUCAAACUCCAACAUCACAUGCAUGUUUAUGCAUAAUCAAGAGUCAUACUUAAAGACAACCAUACUAAUUGGCAGGUUUUUUUCCAUUUGAAACGAUAGAUUUCAUAUAACAAAAAGUCAAAUAGUAUGCAUAGAACAUGCUAACAGUUGGUUUCACUCAAUGUCCAGUCAGCCUUCUUUUGUUCUUGCUACUGUGGGAGGUGUGACGGGACAUCUUUUUUCUGAGUACUGUUGAUGCAAAUUAUUCAUUUCAUAAUUUCAUAAUACUGGUUAACAGUUGAAGUUAUCUUCAAAUAAAUUGUAAACUUAUAUUCCGAAACAUUGCAACUUUCUUAAAGUAGAAAUUUUACAAAUUAUGAUAUAAUUUCCAUGACACAACAAAAUGGGAAUUUCCUGUAAGGCUUAGUGGGCUUACAUAUGAUUUGACUUCUUAGACUCUCAAGUCUCAACAAGUAUAAACUAUCAGAUGGAUGAAAGCCAGUUGAGCAGUCCUAUCUUUGCCCAAGUCACCAUGGGUGAUGUAUGAGUACAAUCAUUAGACCCACUGUGUCAAGACUUGCUCCAUUUGCAGUUCUUUUAGACAGAUGCUUAGCUCCACGGAGCUCAAUUCAAGUCUGUAUUUUAUUCUUGAUUUCUUUAGCAGAACUGAUUGACUUUGCUAGGUUCUUCUAAUAGCCAUAAUUUCCUUUCCUAGCUAGGCAGUACCAACACUGAAGAUUCAACUAGUUUGAUCUGCACAAACAAGGAUAUUGUGUCCAGAUCUGAAGCGUUAGGUCAUUUCUAUAAGAUAAUAGAGACCACAAUCUCAUCUGCAUUUUUGCUUAGAUCACAGUUUCAUCUGUUUGCCAGAGAGCAACGCUGUUGCAAAUAUUAGGUGAAUUUUUACCCUUUUCAUAGUCAUAUUAGAUUGGUCAAAUAGAUAAAAGUUUGAAUUUUUUUCCUUUAAGAACAAGCAUUGCUUCUCUUGGGAAUUUUGGUCAUGGAGAUCUCAUGGCCCAAGAUACGUACAUCUUGAUCAUGUUAUGCAAAUGAAUUUUGUAUUCAACUUUAACAAGUUCUCCUUUUUCCUUACUUCUACAGGUUAGAUAUGCUAUUUUCUGAUGCCUUAAAGCUUCCUGUUGUUGUUGUUUGUACAGGUCAGAUAUGCUGAACAUUUGCCAUCUGUCUUAAAAAACAUAACAUGUAUAGUUCCAGGAAGAAAAAAGGUUGGUGUUGUAGGACGAACUGGCAGUGGCAAAUCAACUUUGAUACAAGCUCUUUUCCGUAUCGUUGAACCAAGAGAAGGGACCAUUGAAAUUGAUGAUGUCGACAUCUGCAAGAUAGGCCUCCAUGAUUUGCGCUACAGACUCAGCAUCAUACCGCAAGACCCAAUAAUGUUCGAGGGAACAGUGAGGGGAAACCUUGAUCCAUUGGAGGAAUACUCAGAUAGCAGGAUAUGGGAGGUAAGUUGUUUCUUAAAACCAAAAUUUUUAUAAUAUAGGAAUCCAAGAAGAUAACUACGGCCAUGAUUAUUAAGCGAAGGUCUGAUGAAUCAGAAACAUAUGAGUAUUCAAAAAAUAGAGUUGCUAGAAGCAAACUUAGAAACUAUUAAUUGACUAUAUAUCGCAGACCAAGUUGAGGAUAAAUCCUGCCCUGCAUAAUUUGAGUUUAUCUAAAUCUAUUAGCAUUCAGUUCAUGUUGAACGAGAGAUUUAACUCAGAUGGUUAAGUUUCUGAAUGGAAGAUGUUUCUUGUCAUCCGUGCUCUGUAUGUAACUGUCUUUAAGAAACAAAAAUCUAAAUCCUAUAUAAGUGUAUACUAAUCAGAAGAUUGACAGAUACAUUAUGAUCACUCAGGUUCUAGACAAGUGUCAGCUCGGUGAUUUGAUACGCCAAAGCAGCAAGAAGCUGGAUUCAACUGGUAAGGCAUGUGCAGGAGGUCUUGGCAUAUGACAACAUAUUUAUGGUCCAUAACUACUUGAAUGGUAUGAUCAGUUAUUAUUACUAGUUUAAUAAUUGAAGGGGGGGCUUCAUACAGUUAUUGAAAAUGGCGAAAACUGGAGUGUCGGACAGAGGCAGCUAUUCUGUCUAGGAAGAGCGCUGUUGAAGCGAAGCAACAUUCUUGUUCUGGACGAAGCAACAGCCUCAGUUGAUACCGCUACGGAUGGAAUAAUCCAAGAAACACUACGUGAGGAAUUCAAGGACUGCACUAUCCUUACCAUAGCUCACAGGAUUCACACAGUCGUAGAUAGCGAUCUCAUUCUGGUCCUUAGCGAAGGUAAUUGAAGUUAUGAUCGAUUUAAAUAAAUAUAUUUUGCAGAAAACUUGUGCAUGAUUUAGCUCACAAAGUUUCUUGUUCUUGAGCAGGAAAGAUACUUGAAUAUGACAAACCAUCCACGUUAUUGGAAAGAGAAGAUUCAUCAUUUUCUAAGCUUAUAAAGGAGUAUUCAAUGAGAUCACAGAGCUUUAACAAUGCAACACAGUGCAAGUAACACAACUUAGUCCUGGAUGUUCCUAUCUUUAUAUGUCUGAUGUAGAGACAAUCCUUGGGUCUCCUACGGAAUGAUAUGGGUAAUUUGUGCUAACUCAAUGCCAGGUAGUUGAUUUCUCCGGCAAAGACUGAUAAUCUCAUGGCAAGAAAUGUUCUUCACCGGUCACCAAAGUUCUACCAAGCCAUGCCGACAGGUGUUCUGCAUCAGGUAACAUUGACAAAGUUCCGUUUACAAAACACUACUUGCAAAUUUCACCAAUGUACUUGUAGCAGAAUAUUUUUGACAGAGAAUUGUUCUAGAUGACUUUCCUUGAGUUAUAGUGCUUCACACUAAUAAGCUAAAAGAUUGUAUUAGAUAGGUUUCUUUCCACCGAUAGAUGUUUGCCUAUGUAAUUGUGACAUAGAUUAAAAGUUUGCUUUUACAACUUUCAAGUUCGUCUUGUUGGAUUCCCAUGUCUUAUACUGUUCAAUUUUGAGUUCUCUAGAAAAAGAGAUGGCACUAUAAGAUUAUUUAGGUCAAAUAAUUGGGCAUCACCUCCACAAUAAUUGAACCCCAAACAACUCAAGAUGAAAAGGGGUACCAAUUACCAGUUAGUCGAAGCCCCGACUGCUUGUUGAUCAGAGAGUAAUGCUCACACCACUGACCCGGGAAAAAUAUUGCAUCUACCCCAAUGCCUAAUUGAUUUAGCCGUCUAAAGAAGAAAUCUCUGCAUGGCCUUCCAAAAUUCAACAAAAGCCGAUUCUUGAACACUCCAGUCGCAAGAAAAGGAAGCAAAUCAACUAAUCAUUAACACGAAAAGGAAGUGAAUUGCAUCCCGACAAGGAUCCGAACCCAUGACCUAUUCCACGCCAAAUCAGAAAAGGCACAUCCAGUAAUAGUGAACUAAGAAUACAUUCGACAUUGCCCUAAUCAAUGCGAAAAACCAGCAAAAGAACAAAAUCUUACCAUAACCAUGCUUCAUCUCCUUCCAGAGCAAGCCGUGUCCCCAUCCGCGAGGUGAGGCGACGGCACACAAAUCGUGGCUGCGGGGAAUGGCGGGUCCGCUCACCGUCGUGACGACGACACGAAGGCGGAAGCUGCUUUGAGCCGGCGGCAGCCAGCAGAAGCGUCUCCAAAGACCACCACCGGGCCCGCAUCCAAGAAAACGAGUCGGAAGCUUCCAAUUAGGUCUUCUUUGUCUCGUUC
rnacentral:lncRNA from 1 species